rnacentral:rRNA from 1 species
AUACGUAGGUGACAAGCGUUAUCCGGAUUUACUGGGCGAAAAGGGCGUGUAGGCGGUCUUGCAAGUCAGAAGUGAAAUUCCUGAGCUCAACUCGGGCGCUGCUUCUGAAACUGCAGGACUUGAGUGCUGGAGGGGAUAGCGGAAUUCCUAGUGGAGCGGUAAAAUGCGCAGAUAUUAGGAAGAACACCGGUGGCGAAGGCGGCUAUCUGAACAGUAACUAACGCUGAGGCGCGAAAGCGGGAGAGCAAACAUGAUGAGUUACCCUGGUAAUCCACACCGUAAACGAUGAAUACUAGGUGUAGGGGGUAACGACUCCCUCUGUGCCGCAGUUAACACAAUAAGUAUUCCGCCUGGGGAGUACGGCCGCAAGGUUGAAACUCAAAUGAAUUGACGGGG